GCUUAUGGCCAUACCACCCUGAACGUGCCAAAUCUCGAAAGCUAAGCAGGGUCGGGCCUGGUUGGUACUUGGAUGGGAGAAAGCAAAAAUACAAAGUUAAAAACUAAGAAUGGCCAGGCGCGGUGGCUC
rnacentral:rRNA from 10 species